rnacentral:rRNA from 1 species
UUGACGGGGCCGCACAAGCGGAGGAACAUGUGGUUUAAUUCGAUGAUACGCGAGGAACCUUACCUGGGCUUAAAUGUAGAGUGCAUGAUGUGGAAACAUGUCUUCCCUUCGGGGCUCUCUGCAAGGUGCUGCAUGGUUGUCGUCAGCUCGUGCCGUGAGGUGUCGGGUUAAGUCCCAUAACGAGCGCAACCCUUAUCGUUAGUUGCCAGCGGGUAAUGCCGGGAACUCUAACGAAACUGCCGGUGUAAACCGAGAGGAAGGUGGGGAUGACGUCAAAUCAGCACGGCCCUUAUGUCCAGGGCUACACACGUGUUACAAUGGCCGGUACAGAGGGCAGCUACCUGGAGACAGGAUGCGAAUCUCGAAAGCCGGUCUCAGUUCGGAUCGGAGUCUGCAACUCGACUCCGUGAAGCUGGAUUCGCUAGUAAUCGCGCAUCAGCCAUGGCGCGGUGAAUACGUUCCCGGGCCUU